rnacentral:misc_RNA from 1 species
UUUCCGUAGGUGAACCUGCGGAAGGAUCAUUAUUGUAUCACCCACGUGCGAGGUCUGUCGCUGACCCGACAGGUCGUUCACGCCCGAUUGCCCUCACACACCUCCAUCUCAUCCCUAUGUGCACCCCCGCGCGGGCCCCCCUUUUCCUUGUUUGGCUGGCGGCUUACUUUUUCACACAAACUUUUUAUGCAGUGUAGAAUGUCUUUUUUGUUUUUCUGAUCACCCAAUCAAUACACUUUUCACCAACGGACCUCUUGCCUCUCGCAUCAUUGAAAAACC